GGGCUGAGAGAGGAAAAGUGCAGAUACGGGGUAAUGGAGAGCAGCGCGGGAGUCUUGGGGAUCUUGGCAUUUAGCACUUUAAUUGCGACGUGCGGUUUACAUCAUUAGAUAUAAAAAUCAAAGAAUUAAGCACGAACUACAAUCUUUAUUAGCCCAGUCGCUGUCCUGAGUGAGGCACCUCGUAUUUGGUAACCACAUCGUUAUCUGAAGCGAUUAAAUGGGGUAACUCCUGACGUUUCAUUCCAGAAAGCACCCGAAGCUGUGUUGCAGUUUUACAUAAGCCUUGUGAUUUUGAAAUUAGAAAAAAAAGGGGUUGCUAUUAGUUAACACUUAACUGCGGGAUUCUAAAGCCUUUAGAAUUUAUCUGUCGGGAUAGAACCUAAAGGCUAUUAAUGUGGUUUGGCGAUCAUAUCUUUUGUCAGAAUUUAUAAUUACCGAAAUUGGAAUGAAUGUGAGAUGUUUUUCAUUUGCCUUUUUAAUCAAACCUGACAUUCCGACGCAGUAAGGUGUGACUUUUUAAGCAUAUUUUGUAGAGAGCAGAAAUAAAGUAGCUUUCAGAAGAAAAAGUAAAAUAAUUUGGGUUGCUUUAAAAAACCCUAAUUAUAAUCUCUCAUUUAAAACAAGUGCUUGAAAUGAAAACAUUCGAAUUUUCGCCCUUAAAAAACUUUUCUCUGGGGGAAGAAUUCCUUUGCAGUAAGAGAGCAUGCGUGAAUCCACCGCGUUCCUCUCUGGAUGUAUUGAAUACAAAAACUUGGGAGCAAGUAAUGCUAGAGAACAAUGGAUUGGAAGAAUUGGGAGGGUCUUGGUCGGAGUCUAAGAGCCUUUCUAAAACUAACGCCUUGGCCAUGGUCAUUCUGUGACAGUGCAAGGCACAAAGAACUCAUGGUCUCGAAGGCACCUCAUCCCUGACAAGCUGUGCUCCCUGGCUGGUGAGGAUAAGGAACUAUUGUAAUACUCAUUGGCUUGCGGCAUCAGAUCACCCUGGAUAAGUGGACUAGCCAGGGUAUGGAUUUCCAAUGCUGAAUCAGAGCCAAUCUGGCGGCUCAGAAGACCAUCACAAUGCAGCAGUGCAUGGAGUCCAUUUACAGGCUGACUUCCCUCAUCUUACUGCUGGGCAUGCUUCUACCACUGACCCUGAAGUAGUGAGGCGUUCUCUGGCCGGAGGUGUGAACUCUAGGAAGCUAUGAAGACAUCAACAGGUGCCUCCUGAAUAACCUCGCCUCAGUUCUCCAAGAAAGCCUUCCUCCGCACAAGUUUUUCAAAGUUUAAAAAAUGACCUCAAAUUUGAGAAUGGAAUGUUACUCAGCAACACAAAAGGAGCAGAUCAUUGACACAUGCAACAAGAUGGAUAAAAUCUCAGAACCAUUACAGUGAGUGAAAGAAGUCUUAUACAAAAAAAAGAGAACAUACUAAGGAUUCCGUUUAUGUGACAUUCUAGAACAGAUAAAACCAAUCUGCAGUGGAAAAAUUUCAGAAAAGGUUGGUUCUGCAGAUGGGGAUUGACUGGUAAGGGGCAUGGUGAGACUUUAUGGGGGGCUAAUACUCUGUUCACAGGGGUUUGAGUCAUGUAGGCAUAUGCAUUUGUCAAAAUUCAGCGAAUGUAUACUUAAGAUGUGUGCAUUUCUUCUUGAACUCUAGCGUACUGAGAUAUUUAAGAGGAAGUGUAUUGGUGUCUGCAAAUGACUUUGACUUGCAUCAAAAAAAUGAAGAUUGGUAUAUAGCUAGAGUGAUAGAUGGACAUCUAUGUGAUAAGGCAAGUAGAAUGAAAUGCUAAUGGUUGCAUUUAGCGGGUAGGGGAGGAUUCAUUAUAAAUACGUUUUUUAACUUGGCUGUAUGAAUAAUAAUAAAAAUGUUGGCAGAUAAACACUGUGUGUGCAAUGAAAAGGAGAAAUACGCCAUGUCUUUGCACCAGAUUUGACCCCUGAACCAUAAAUUCACCUUCUCUUUUACGUUACUUGAAGAAUGAGGGAUUCUGAGAGGUUAAGGAUAAUGUAGUG